rnacentral:lncRNA from 1 species
CUAACAACACACAACAUUCCAGGAAUGUACUACCAAAGUUCUAUCAAUAUUUGAAUGUCCUGGACAUUUAGGGAACAUUCGGUGAACAUCUGAUUAAAUUAUUCGUGGAAUGUUACCAUAAGACAUUCUGUGAACAUACUACCAAUGUUCCUAUAUGUUCAUUUUCAAAUUCACGGCGCAUGUAUUUGUGCAUGGUGCUUAGAGAGGGCAUCACGUGACUAAAAACGACCAAUGACCUCACUUCAGACUUCGGUGCUUCGGCCAUCUUGACAUGCAUCUUGGCCUUGGCCACAUGGCCACCUUGCCGUGCGUGAUCGUUGUUUGUUUUUAUUUGUGCUUUUUAAGAAUAUUUUUUAAUUCGGAUACUUUUAUAAUAACUUUAAUAGUAUUAUUAAUAUAGUGCAUAAAAUCAGUUGGAGUAGCAGAAGCAAUGUAGAUAAAAAAUCUGCAGGAAUAAUGUUUCAAAGCUUUCCAGAAGAUCCUGCGAAGAAGGCAUGAAGUAUUGAUCAGAUUUGUUAAUAGAGCAGUAUGUUCAAAACAUUUUUUAGAAAAAGAUAUUGACAGAACUUCACUUUCAACCGUUUGAGAGACUGUGCUGUUCCAAUAGCUUAUAUCACACAGAAUCAGCUGAGAGAAGUGGUCUACAAAAAACCAGGAAGGAAAUGGAAUAUGUGGCUAUGAAAGGCAAAAGAAAGGUUUACAAAGCAAAUGUGACACAUUUUUUUAUAGGAAUAUCAGUAAAUUACAUUAAAAAAAUGUAUGAAAAGAUUUUUUGCAAUAAAAAUGUUUAUAUUUAUCAAGGAUGCAUUAUUUGGUAUGGCCACAUAUCGUCAGUGAUGUGACAAUACCUCCUAUCUGUUUUUUCAUGAGAUUUGUAAGAUAGACUAAAAAAUUGUUUGGGCCACCUCCUGUUUUCAUAUAUUUUUUGACUUGUUUUGCAGUAAAUUUAACUAUCUAUUUACUACAAAACAAGCCAGAACUUACGUAUGCAAACAGGAGGUGACCUUAAAAAAUGUUUUUCGUCUCCUGCAAACCUCAUGAAAAAAGAUAUAGGAGGUAUUGUCACAGCACUGACGAUAUAUUUCAGAGAAUGUCUAAAAAAUAUACUGUGAAUGUUCAAAGAACGUUCGUAGACAUUCAUGGAAUGUUCCAACAAGACAUUUAGUCUAAAAAAUAUACUGUGAAUGUCCAAAGA